rnacentral:rRNA from 1 species
CGGAGGAAAAGAAACUAACCAGGAUUCCCCUAGUAACUGCGAGUGAAGCGGGAAAAGCUCAAAUUUAAAAUCUGGCGGUUCUUGUAGCCGUCCGAGUUGUAAUUUAGAGAAGUGUUAUCCGCGUUGGACCGUGUACAAGUCUCCUGGAAUGGAGCGUCAUAGAGGGUGAGAAUCCCGUCUUUGACACGGACUNNCAAGGCUUUGUGAUGCGCUCUCGAAGAGUCGAGUUGUUUGGGAAUGCAGCUCAAAAUGGGUGGUAAAUUCCAUCUAAAGCUAAAUAUUGGGGAGAGACCGAUAGCGAACAAGUACCGUGAGGGAAAGAUGAAAAGAACUUUGGAAAGAGAGUUAAACAGUACGUGAAAUUGCUGAAAGGGAAACGCUUGAAGUCAGUCGCGUUGUUCAGGACUCAGCCUUGCUUUUGCUUGGUGUACUUCUUGUUCGACGGGUCAGCAUCAAUUUUGGUCGGUGGAUAAAGGCUUAGAGAAUGUGGCAUCUUCGGGUGUGUUAUAGCUCUGGGUCGCAUACAUCGGCUGGGAUUGAGGAACUCAGCACGCCGCAAGGCCGGGUACUUGUACCACGUACGUGCUUAGGAUGCUGGCAUAAUGGCUUUAAUCGACCCGUCUUGAAACACGGACCAAGGAGUCUAACAUGCCUGCGAGUGUUUGGGUGGAAAACCCGAGCGCGUAAUGAAAGUGAAAGUUGAGAUCCCUGUCGUGGGGAGCAUCGACGCCCGGAGCAGACCUUCUGUGANAUCCGCGGUAGAGCAUGUAUGUUGGGACCCGAAAGAUGGUGAACUAUGCCUGAAUAGGGUGAAGCCAGAGGAAACUCUGGUGGAGGCUCGUAGCGAUUCUGACGUGCAAAUCNAUCGUCGAAUUUGGGUAUAGGGGCGAAA